AGCGAAUAGAUACCCUGGUAGUCCUGGCCCUAAACGGUGCGCAUUUGCUGUAAGAGGAAUCGACCCCGUUUUGUGGCGAAAGCUAAACGCGUUAAACUGCGCCGCCUGGGAAGUACGGCCGCAAGGUUAAAACCUCAAAGAAAUUGACGGGGGUCCUGCACAAGCGGUGGAGUAUGCGGCUUAAAUUCGAUGCAACGCGAAGAACCUUACCUGGCCUUGACAUGCACAUAGUAGAAGCCUGAAACGGGUUGACGAGGUAGCAAUACCAGUGUGCACAGGUGCUGCAUGGCUGUCGUCAGCUCGUGUCGUGAGAUG
rnacentral:rRNA from 1 species